AAAAGAUAAGAAGAAAAGAAAGAAACAAAUGUGAGCAAGAAGGAAAGAAGAAACAAGUGCAGGGCUCACACUGAUGCUGCGGUUUGGUGAGUUGUAUUUUUUAUGCACUUAACUUAUUUUUGCCAUAUUUAUCUGCCAUGCGUAGAAGGCCGGUCCGUGAAAAUAAAACCUACAUUGUUCCGGUCCGUGGUGCAAAAAAGGUUGGGGACCACAGCUGUAACUGAUCAAUAACGUUUAUGAGUGUGGUUUAAAAUGUAACAGAUUUUUGUUAAUAUGUACGUUUUAUAACAAGGAAAUAACCAUCCUGUCACUCCAUCAGUAAUUUAUGUUCAUGAUAAAUAAAGAGGGUGAGUACAUAAGGAGCCAUCACAGAACACUCACUAUCUACUGAUGAAAAGAAGAGCAACAGGACUUAAGAUGAAGUUUUCUGUGUGCCUUGUGAUUCUGAUCUCAAAUGCUGCAGCAAUUCAAGAUCUUUCGGGUAAAAUGUUUACGUUUCCUCAACAAACUAACUCUGCUCAUGUGAGGC